CCUACGGGUGACAGCAGUGGGGAAUAUUGCACAAUGGGGGAAACCCUGAUGCAGCGACGCCGCGUGAGUGAAGAAGUUUUUCGGUAUGUAAAGCCCUAUUAGCCGGGAAGAAAAUGACGGUACCUGACUAAGAAGCACCGGCUAACUACGUGCCAGCAGCCGCGGUAAUACGUAGGGGGCAAGCGUUAUCCGGAUUUACUGGGUGUAAAGGGAGCGUAGACGGGAGCACAAGUCUGGAGUGAAAUGCCGGGGCUUAACCCCGGAACUGCUUUGGAAACUGUGCAGCUAGAGUGAGGGAGAGGUAGGUGGAAUUCGUGGUGUAGCGGUGAAAUGCGUAGAUAUUAAGAGGAACACCAGUGGCGAAGGCGGCUUACUGGACUGUAACUGACGUUGAGGCGCGAAAGCGUGGGGAGCAAACAGGAUUAGAUACCCCUGUAGUC
rnacentral:rRNA from 1 species